GUUAAAUAUUUUUGACUAAGACGACUUCCUGGACGACUUACAUUUCAGUCGUCUGGUGAAGAAAUUAAAACAGACGACUUACAUGUAAGUCGUCCAGAAGAGUUUAAUAUUUUUAGCGGGAAAUUAAAUAUUUUUAGCGAGAAACUAAAAUAGAAGACUUUCCAGACGACUUACAAGUAAGUCGUCUGGUUUAAAUUAUUUAAGCGGAAAAAUAAUUUUUUAAAAAAAUUUUAGGCGG
rnacentral:lncRNA from 1 species